GGCACGAACCCGUGUCCCCUGCAUCGGCAAGCGGACUCUCAACCACUGCGCCACCGGGGAAGCCCAACCCCUGCUUUUCUAAACUGAUUCCAAAUGAAGCUCGGUGUAUUCUUCAGAGAUUGGCUCAGUUCACCUAAGAACCUUGUUGAGUCCUUCCUAGCACCGUGUUGAGCAAAUUACCUGGCACUUUUGUCAUGACAGCUACACCCAGGAAAUGCAGGUUAUGAAAGUUUAGAAUUAUGAAAUGACACAAGUUGUGCAGUUCAACAUGAGCUUAUCUUUUGAAAGUUUCUAUUUCACAGCUCCUGAGGGGCUGCACUCUACAUGACCUCUAAUACUGAGGUUUUAGGAGACCGGCUCUAAGAGGAAGAAUUGACCAAGUUACCUGUUGCAGCUCCAGGCGACAGCAUCUGAGAGUCCAGUUUGGGGCCAUUUAGGGAGAAGAAAGCUUUGGUUUAUUUCUCCUUUAAGUGAGGAAGAUAAAAAUGAAACCAACAAAACCAAACAAGUGUCUGAAAUCCAGUCACUGAAAUGACAACUUAGAGUUUUGCAAAUGGAACAAGUCUUUGCAUGGAUUUGAGAACUUGGCUCUGGAAUUAAGACUGAGGGGUUGUCUCCAACCCGGUUCAGAAGUCAGCAGGAAAGAAGAUUGUUGUUUAUGGUCCCCUGGAACUCCACCAUCUCUAACUCUAACUCUCCAUCUCACCUUGAGUCUUGCUGGACUGGCUGAACUGAGGACCAGGUGCGGUCCCUCUGGAGUUUGAUGAAAAGGCAGUAAGAUGUCGUUGAUUCCUCUACAUUUAACUCACCAAAUUACAACUUGGUAAGAGAGAUUUGAUUUUUAAAAGCCUUUUGAGUCCUCAGAAAUAGAAAGCUAUGGGAACUGUGUUUUAUUCAUUCUUGUAUUUCCAGCAUCUCCAUUUACAUCUCCAUUGUACAUGGUAGGUAUCGAAUAAAUGUUUGCUCAAAGGAUGUAUGUACACGGGCGAACAAAAAACUAAUUCAAACUUUUGAAAGCUUUAAAUUCUCAGUGUUCAAGUGGUCUUUAAAUGUGGUGGAAUUUUUUUCUCUAUGAAAAUAACUUCCCUUGGUUUCUCUGUCUCUGAAUUUUUCUUUUUCCUUCUGUGUCAUCACACCUCACCAUUCUAACUCCUUUCUUGAGCAACUUCAUUGUCCAGGAAACAACUCUUCUGGUGUCCAUAAUCCUUGCGCUGACACUUACGUCAUCACUCCUGGAAAGCUGAAUUCUCUAUCUCUAGCUCACAUUUUGUGGAGUCCAGGCAAAAGCACUAGGAAUAUUUGAAUCAGUCUGAACUUCAGAUAGGUAGUAAAGAUGGUUUCAUACCCAGAAAAUUCACCCUCAUCUCAUAAAAUGCCAUUGUAUAAAGAGUACCUUGAAAGGGGUAUAAAAUAGAACUAGAUGAGUGCGUAUGUGUGAAUGCCUAUGCAUGUGUAUAAAGGGAUAUACAGAUGUCUGCCUUUAUUUCAAAAGAUGGAGACCAUAGUGACACAGUCUAUGCUAUUUCCACAGAUUAUAGCUAAACUGCGCUGAGCCUGUACAGACAUAAAGUCUAAAUAAUCCUCUAAAUAACUUUUUCCCUCAGAGAUGGUAAAUACAUUCUUGAAAGCUACAGGUGUGACAAAGGAUAAAAAACACAAUUUUUCUGGAUGACCUAGCCAAUUUAUGUCUAAUUAUUUUAUCUUUUAAAAAUUCUUUCUUAGAAGAGUCAACUCCCCAUGUGCAGAUUUUUGUGGCACAGCCAGAAAUCACAGACAUAUGGAAUAUAUUUGUUACAUUCUUAAGAAAAGUGUUGAUAAGGAUUAUUUCUUAACCAUAUACCGCAUAUUACUGAAGAUAAGUGAUACUCAGAACUGGGAUAAUAAUGAUACAUUCAGGGUGCCGAUGAUACCAUUUAAUCUAUUUUUAGGUAUAUUUCCUUAAAAAGUAUUGUACCUCUUUUGGUCACUCGUGUUUGAGGCUCUCAAUCCUAUAUUAUGUUAUAGUACUUAAAUUCAUAAAGAGCUUUAUCAACACAUGGUUGAUUUCCUGCAGAGAUGGUACAUUUUAAAUUGGUUCUUAUGUGUUAUGUGCAUCAUCUUAUCUUGCCUCUGUUCUACUCAUCUCUCCAGUGUUCUAUUAUAUUUAACGGUGAUUUCAUAAACCCGUUUCUUUGUUGUGCUUUAGGGAAAGGUUUGCUUGUAUUUUGGGCUUCUGGCUACAGAGCUCUGUAUCUGGUACACAGAGAGCUGCUGUAAAAUUACUAUUGGUUGCAAUACCCUAGGUGUGAAGAAGGUGAUGUGGUUUGGUCAAUUCUCAGUGUAGCUUUUCUCUUUAUUGGUAUUUGUCUAUUCUAUUUUAACAAAACAUUGGGUAGAUGCGGGCAGAAUGUGCCACAAAUCAAUUCUACGAUCCAUGUAGCAGCUUUAGCGGGCUCGAACUGCAAAGGACAGAGUUUGCUGAAAUUGUAUAUUCAAUUGGUGAUGUCUACAUUGAAUUCUUUUAGACCUAUUCUGUCUUUUAAAGUCCUGAAAACACUGGAGCAGUCUACUUUGAUGACUUAUUCAGAACAAGCACACAAUAAAGAAUGAGAUACUGUUUUCUCUGUAGUACUGUGGCAGUAAUAAUGGACAAAACAACAGUCGUAUUACAUUUCCCUUUAAAGUUUUUAAUUUAAUAGAAAGUCGUUCUGUCCUUCAGCAAGUUUUAGUAUAUUCAUUCAUUAACUCUUCAAAUAUUUGUUGUGCUCCUGGUAGCUGCCGAGCACUGUAUAAGGUGUGAGGGUACAAAAACCAGUUCCUACUUACAAGGUGAUUUAACAGACUUGAAUCCUUUUGUUUUCAUCUAAAUAUAAAUGUUGCAUCACAAUCUCUCAAAGGAUCCAAUUGCUUGGGCUCCAAGGAUGUAGAGGGCCAAAAAUGCUUUAUAUUUUGAGUCGAGAGAGAAACUUAAAAAAAAAAAAAAAAAAAAAAAAUCUUUCCUACUCAGCUGAGUCUAAUCACUGCUUCUCCCCCACUUAAGUUAAUAGCUGCUUAAUUUCCCACUAAUUCAAUCCUUCUUCAUCCCUUCUCCCACUCCCUUUCCCUUCUUCUUGACAACCCAGAAGCAUGGCCAUUAUUUCUUUCUGGUCCUCAUUCAUGUUGAACAGACCCAAUAGCUUUUUGGUUGGGUUCUGAAAUUAUGGCAAAAAGACUGCAGCCAUUUUGAUCUUCAGGUCUAGAAACAACCUUCUUUCUACUUUUAAUACUGUGAAAAUAAAAGGGUCAAUGCUUGUGCUCCUCAGACAAUAGUGGAGGUUAAAAAAACAAGUGGUUUUUAAAGUCAGAUUAAUUGAGGUAUAAUUUACAUACAGUAAAAUUCACUUUUUUAUGUGUACUGUUCUGUAAAUUUUGACAACGUACACAUCUGUGUAACUACCACUAUAAAACAAUAUAGAGAACGUUCUCAUCAGCCUCCCCCAAAUUCCCUUGUUCCUCUUUUUUUAGUUAACCCCAUUCACCCAAUCACAGCCCCUGGCGUGAGUGUCUUGUCCCUACAGUUUUGCCUAUUCCAGAAAGUCAUACAAAUAGAAUAAUAUAGUAUGUAGCCUAUGAGUCUGGAUUCUUUCACGUAGAUAAUGCUUCUGAGAUUUACUCAUGUUUAUUGCAAAUAUUAUCAGUUUGUUCCAUUUUAUUACAGUGUAGUUUUGCAUUUAUGGAUGUGCAACAGUUUUGACCAUUACCAGGUAAUUAAUAUGCGAGAUAUUUCUAGUUUUUGCCUAUUAUUAAUACAGCUGCUACAAACAUUCACAUAUAGUUUUGAUGUGGAUAUAUGACUUCAUUUCUCUUGGGUAAAUUCCUAAGAGUGGGGUUGCUGGGUCAUAUGGUAAGUGUAUAUUUAACUUCGUAAGACACUGUGAAACUCUUUUCCUAAGGGGCCAUGCCCUGCUGCACUCCCACGGUGAUACGUGAGAAUUCCAGUUGCUCCACAUCCCCGCCAGCAUUUGGGGAUGAAUUUUUGAUCUGAGCCAUUCUAGGAGGUGUGCCAUGGUAUCUCAUUGUCUUUUAAUUUGCGUUUCCCCAAGGACCAAUGACGUUCAGCAUAUUUUUGUGUGCUUGCUUGCCAUCCACAUCUCUUCUUUUUUUUUGUGGAUGGUAAAAUACACGUAACAUGAAAUUUAUCACUAGUAGUCACUGGCAAACAUUUAUUUUCUGUCUCUAUGAAUGUGCUUUUUCUGGAUAUUUCACAUAAAUGGAAUCAUUCAAGAUGAGGCCUUUGUGUCUGGUUUCUUUCACUUAGCAUAACAUUUUCAAGGUUCACCCAUUCUGUAGCAUGUACCAACUUCAUUGCUUUUUAUGGCUGAAUGGUAUUCCAUCUUAUGAGUAUACCACAUUAUAUUUAUCCAUUCAUCAGUUGGCUUGUUUCUACCUUUGGCUAUUGUGAAUCAUGCUGUUGUGAACAUUUGUGUAUCCAGUUUUAUGUGAACACAUGUUUUCUAUUCUUUUGGGUUUAUACAGAGUAUUGGAAUAGAUUGAUCAUACUGUAAUUCUAUGUUUGUUUUAUUGAGGAACUGCCAAACUGUUUUCCACAGUGGCUAAACCAUUUUAUAUUCCCACC